AUGUGGGUUUUUUCUUUCCUUUUUUUCACACUGCACAAAACUCCCAAAGAUGCUCAAAACAUGUUUAUAAAUUUUUUUAAAGUUCACAAAUUCGUAAUGCUUGUGAAUUUUGAAAUUGUUGACGAAUUUGAGAAACUAAAGAUAAAUUUUAAAUUUUUUCAUGAAUUUGAAAAAGAAAUCACGAGUUUGAAAAAUGAAUGUGAAUUUAUAAAAAAAAUGUUCUUUAAUUGGAGAAUAUUCACAAUUGUUUUAAAAAAAUUGCGAUUUUCUGAAAUGUUCAAGGCUCUAAAAAUGAUUUAA
rnacentral:rRNA from 1 species